rnacentral:rRNA from 1 species
GGGAUUGCCCUAGUAACGGCGAGUGAAGCGGCAACAGCUCAAAUUUGAAAUCUGGCGCAAGCCCGAGUUGUAAUUUGUAGAGGAUGCUUCUAGGUAGCGACCGGUCUAAGUUCCUUGGAACAGGACGUCAUAGAGGGUGAGAAUCCCGUAUGUGACCGGCCCGCACCUUCUACGUAGCUCCUUCGACGAGUCGAGUUGUUUGGGAAUGCAGCUCUAAAUGGGAGGUAAAUUUCUUCUAAAGCUAAAUACCGGCCAGAGACCGAUAGCGCACAAGUAGAGUGAUCGAAAGAUGAAAAGCACUUUGGAAAGAGAGUUAAAAAGCACGUGAAAUUGUUGAAAGGGAAGCGCUUACAACCAGACUUCUGGGCGGUGUUCCGCCGGUCUUCUGACCGGUCUACUCACCGUCCCGAGGCCAACAUCAUCUGGGACCGCCGGAUAAGACCUCAGGAAUGUAGCUCCCCUCGGGGAGUGUUAUAGCCUGUGGUGAUGCGGCGCGUCUCGGGUGAGGUCCGCGCUUCGGCAAGGAUGUUGGCGUAAUGGUUGUCAGCGGCCCGUCUUGAAACACGGACCAAGGAGUCUAACAUCUAUGCGAGUGUUCGGGUGUCAAACCCCUACGCGUAAUGAAAGUGAACGGAGGUGGGAAGGGUAACCUGCACCAUCGACCGAUCCUGAUGUCCUCGGAUGGAUUUGAGUAAGAGCAUAGCUGUUGGGACCCGAAAGAUGGUGAACUAUGCCUGAAUAGGGUGAAGCCAGAGGAAACUCUGGUGGAGGCUCGCAGCGGUUCUGACGUGCAAAUCGAUCGUCAAAUUUGGG